GUUGGGUUUUAAAAACAUAUCAGACCCUUUCCUACACAAUAACCAAACCCUCAAAGAUCUCUUUGAAGUCAUAAUCAGAUGGCAGUGACACCAUUAUGAGGGGUCCCACCAUUUUUAGCAUGUAUCCUCAUCCAUUUUUGGAGAUAUCUAGGGACUUGCCUACAAGGUCAAGAACAUGUGUGUUUGGACAUAGUCUAAAGGGCAAAUGCCUUUCAGAAUGCCGGGAUUACGAGGCUUGUGCCACCGCGACACGUAGCUCACAAAGUCCUUUCUUAUCCUGACUUCCUCAUGGUCAACUCCAUUUUGCCAGAAGGAAAAUUAAUACUUGAAGGAAUUGGGUAAUGUGUCCAAAGACAUAAUCACCAAGUGACACAGUCUGGGUUUUCCUGAUUCAACAUCCUAAUCAAGAGAUUUUUGAACAUCUUUGCUUUAAAGAAAUGAAAGAAGCAACUACUUAAAACAGGGCCAUGGAAUAAUGGAGGUGGAAGAGAAGAUGGAGAAAAAGGAGGAGUCAUCUAUUGCAUGAAUCAUGGGCAAAAGGAAGAUGUGAUGGUCUAAAUCAAGGAUCAGAUAAGUGGGUUUCAGAGAAAAUUCCUCCUGCUCUUCUGGACAUCAUGUGUGCAGACAGUGGAUAAGAAGUGCUGCAGCUGCCUUGCUGUCAGCCUGUGGGUAAAGGCAGCGCAGGAGGAACAGAGCAUGAGGAGACAGAGCCAGCUGCUGAUGUUCAAAGGCCCUCUUCACUCUCAGUUGUGACCCAGGCCAAACCACCACUGUGGACCAUGUGCUGACUCUUCAUGACUCAGUGACAGAAGGAGCUGCAAGUGAGCAAAUUGUCAUCUAAACCUAAC
rnacentral:lncRNA from 1 species